rnacentral:rRNA from 1 species
CUCGAUAAUCCACGAAUAUCUUACCUCCCUUAGACCUCAGCUUGUGUACUGCCGUUGUAAGCACACCUUUAAAAGAAUAGUGUGCUACUAUGACUAGCCAAUUGCAAACUCAUUUACAUCAGGUCAAAGUGCAGCCAAUGAGGAGGUGAUGAUGGGUUACAACCAAAAAAAAGACUACGAAAUAAGAAAUGAAAAAUCUUAUAAAGGUGGACUUAACUGUAAUUUUAUAUAUACUAAAAAAAUGAAAUAAAUCUAAGACAUGUACACAUCGCCCGUCACUCUACCCUAAAGGUUAGAUAAGUCGUAACAAAGUAGGUGUAAUGGAAAUUGCACCUGUCGAAGUAUAGUAUAUUUAAUGCUUUUUACUUACACUAAAAACAAAGCUCACGCUUACUUCGCAUAUAGAGAUAAUCUUAUUAACAAACACCUAAUAAAAACAAAUUAACAAUAAAGCUAAAUAAAAAGUAACCAAGUACAGAAAUGGAAAAAUAAAUAAAUAAAAGUAGAAAUUAACAUUCGUACCUUGUGCAUUAUGGCUUUACAAGAAAUUUAUUAAAACACAAAUCCCGAAUUCUCAACGAGAUGUUAAAAUACUACUAAGAGUCCAUCAGUAACUGUAGAACAAGUUUUGAAAGAUAGAUUAACAGAGGCUACAUACCAACCGCGUGAGAAUAUAGCUGGUUCUCAAUGAACAUUAUAUAUUAAAACAUGUAAACAAUUACAGUGUAAAACUAUUGAGGAUAAGCCCAAUAAUAAAAGCAAUAUAACCUAUUAUACUAAUAAAACCCAUAGGCUUAAAAUCAGCCAAUAAAAAUACCUUACCGUAAAUAAGUUAGUAAUAAUUAAUAAAUAGAGCAUGCUACAAGUAAUUGAGAUAAGUGUAAAACCAAAUCUACACUUUAUUUUAUGUAAAAACAAGUAUUAGAAAUUAAAUUAAUAAAAAAAUAAAAAAAGGAAAUAAAAUAUACUCUAUAACUAACUAAGAAACUCGGCAAAUACUUAUUUCGACUGUUUAACAAAAACAUUGCC